rnacentral:pre_miRNA from 14 species
UUUUCCUAUUGAAAGACCCCUGGAGUGGGGAGACCCUCACUCAAGCCUCGGGAUGACACGACCCCCUAAGAACUCACGAGAGACC